AACGCGAAGAACCUUACCCAGACUUGACAUGCAGUGGACGAUAGUAGAAAUACUAUUUCCCUUCGGGGCCGCUGCACAGGUGCUGCAUGGCUGUCGUCAGCUCGUGCCGUGAGGUGUUUGGUUAAGUCCAGCAACGAGCGCAACCCUUAUCAUUAGUUGCCAACAUUUAAGGUGGGAACUCUCGUGAGACUGCCUGGGUUAACCAGGAGGAAGGUGAGGAUGACGUCAAGUCCGCAUGGCCCUUAUGUCUGGGGCUACACACGUGCUACAAUGGUCGGUACAGAAGGCAGCGAAGCCGCGAGGUGAAGCAAAUCCCAAAAGCCGAUCUCAGUUCAGAUUGUAGUCUGCAACUCGACUACAUGAAGACGGAAUUGCUAGUAAUGGCAGGUCAGCACACUGCCGUGAAUACGUUCCCGGGCCUUGUACACACCGAUACUC
rnacentral:rRNA from 1 species